GUAAAUGAGGGUCACAGAUACAGAUCCAUAUAAAGACAGCAGCAGGAAAAAAGAGUAAAGAGAACAUGUCCAUUUACAUCAUUGGCGUGGUUGUUUUCAUCUGUUUGGGCUUAGUGGGAAUGCUGUACGAAUACUAUAAAAAGAAUGAAUGGCGCGUCCACCGCACUAUCAUGAUUGGCCAGUGUUACGUGAUAUGUCUGUUAAUUGGGGUGGUGGUGUACCUCACUAACAAGCUAGAAGAUCCGCGAGUGAAAGUGGAUGAGAGAUGAGAUGAAAGCGCAGAGGGUUUGGAUGUCAAAGUGAACCAAACUCAUGGAUGAUAUUUGAUUAAAAAGAAAGAAGUGUCACAGUAAUAGGAUACAACAGGAAAAAUGCAUGAAUCAAACUGUCAUAUCAACAUCAGUGUGGAGGGGCCUUAAGGGACUCUACAUAAAGUUUUUUUAAAUCAAGAUGCAGUUAAAUGGGGAACAAACAAACAAGUAAACAAAACAGCAACAAGUAGCAAUUUGGCUAUUUAUGCAUGUUUUUGCCUCUGUUUUUUUAAUCUGCAUUGAACAAGAAUGAGUUCCUUUAUUUGUCAGUAAUCAUACAUGUGUCAUAACUGUCAAAAAUGAUCCUGUGACUGUGAACUUCUGUUUCUGAAUAAAAUUUAAAUAUGUUGUAAUUAAGU